AGCGUACACGGUGGAUGCCCAGGCAGUCAGAGGCGAUGAAGGGCGUGCUAAUCUGCGAUAAGCGUCGGUAAGGUGAUAUGAACCGCAACAACCGACGAUACCCGAAUGGGGAAACCCAGUGCAAUCCGUUGCACUAUCAUGUCAUGAAUACAUAGUGGCAUGAGGCGAACCGGGGGAACUGAAACAUCUAAGUACCCCGAGGAAAAGAAAUCAACCGAGAUUCCCCCAGUAGCGGCGAGCGAACGGGGAACAGCCCAGAACCUGAAUCAGUUUGUGCCUUAGUGGAAGCGUCUGGAAAGUCGCGCAGUAAAGGGUGACAGCCCCGUACACAAAAAGGCACUUGCUGUGAGUUCGAUGAGUAGGGCGGGACACGUGACAUCCUGUCUGAAUAUGGGGGGACCAUCCUCCAAGGCUAAAUACUCCUGACUGACCGAUAGUGAACCAGUACCGUGAGGGAAAGGCGAAAAGAACCCCGGCGAGGGGAGUGAAACAGAACCUGAAACCGUGUACGUACAAGCAGUGGGAGCACCUUCGUGGUGUGACUGCGUACCUUUUGUAUAAUGGGUCAGCGACUUAUAUUCUGUAGCAAGGUUAACCGUAUAGGGGAGCCGCAGGGAAACCGAGUCUUAACUGGGCGUUAAGUUGCAGGGUAUAGACCCGAAACCCGGUGAUCUAGCCAUGGGCAGGUUGAAGGUUGGGUAACACUAACUGGAGGACCGAACCGACUAAUGUUGAAAAAUUAGCGGAUGACCUGUGGCUGGGGGUGAAAGGCCAAUCAAACCGGGAGAUAGCUGGUUCUCCCCGAAAGCUAUUUAGGUAGCGCCUCGUGAACUCAUCUCCGGGGGUAGAGCACUGUUUCGGCUAGGGGGCCAUCCCGGCUUACCAACCCGAUGCAAACUGCGAAUACCGGAGAAUGUUAUCACGGGAGACACACGGCGGGUGCUAACGUCCGUCGUGAAGAGGGAAACAACCCAGACCGCCAGCUAAGGUCCCAAAGUCAUGGUUAAGUGGGAAACGAUGUGGGAAGGCACAGACAGCCAGGAUGUUGGCUUAGAAGCAGCCAUCAUUUAAAGAAAGCGUAAUAGCUCACUGGUCGAGUCGGCCUGCGCGGAAGAUGUAACGGGGCUAAACCAUGCACCGAAGCUGCGGCAGCGGACGUAUCACCCAAGCAGAUUCACUGAAGUGGAUAACGAUUGACGGAGCGCAGCGAUGUCAAUGCGCCCAUCAAAGUCGAGUCGACUUCGGGAUACGUCCGUUGGGUAGGGGAGCGUUCUGUAAGCCGUCGAAGGUGUGCUGUGAGGCAUGCUGGAGGUAUCAGAAGUGCGAAUGCUGACAUAAGUAACGAUAAAGCGGGUGGAAAGCCCGCUCGCCGGAAGACCAAGGGUUCCUGUCCAACGUUAAUCGGGGCAGGGUGAGUCGACCCCUAAGGCGAGGCCGAAAGGCGUAGUCGAUGGGAAACGGGUUAAUAUUCCCGUACUGGGUGUUACUGCGAAGGGGGGACGGAGAAGGCUAUGUUAGCCGGGCGACGGUUGUCCCGGUUUAAGCGUGCAGGCUUGAGUUCCAGGCAAAUCCGGAACUCUUUAAGGCUGAGGCGUGAUGACGAGGCACCACGGUGCUGAAGUAACAAAUGCCCUGCUUCCAGGAAAAGCCUCUAAGCAUCAGGUAACAUCCAAUCGUACCCCAAACCGACACAGGUGGUCAGGUAGAGAAUACCAAGGCGCUUGAGAGAACUCGGGUGAAGGAACUAGGCAAAAUGGUGCCGUAACUUCGGGAGAAGGCACGCUGGCGCGUAGGUGAAGCGACUUGCUCGUGGAGCUGAAGCCAGUCGAAGAUACCAGCUGGCUGCAACUGUUUAUUAAAAACACAGCACUGUGCAAACACGAAAGUGGACGUAUACGGUGUGACGCCUGCCCGGUGCCGGAAGGUUAAUUGAUGGGGUUAUCCGCAAGGAGAAGCUCUUGAUCGAAGCCCCGGUAAACGGCGGCCGUAACUAUAACGGUCCUAAGGUAGCGAAAUUCCUUGUCGGGUAAGUUCCGACCUGCACGAAUGGCGUAAUGAUGGCCAGGCUGUCUCCACCCGAGACUCAGUGAAAUUGAACUCGCUGUGAAGAUGCAGUGUACCCGCGGCAAGACGGAAAGACCCCGUGAACCUUUACUACAGCUUGACACUGAACAUUGAGCCUUGAUGUGUAGGAUAGGUGGGAGGCUUCGAAGCGUGGACGCCAGUCUGCGUGGAGCCAACCUUGAAAUACCACCCUUUAACGUUUGAUGUUCUAACCUGGCGCCGUAAUCCGGCGUGGGGACAGUGUCUGGUGGGUAGUUUGACUGGGGCGGUCUCCUCCCAAAGAGUAACGGAGGAGCACGAAGGUCAGCUAAUCACGGUCGGACAUCGUGAGGUUAGUGCAAUGGCAUAAGCUGGCUUGACUGCGAGAGUGACGGCUCAAGCAGGUGCGAAAGCAGGUCAUAGUGAUCCGGUGGUUCUGAAUGGAAGGGCCAUCGCUCAACGGAUAAAAGGUACUCCGGGGAUAACAGGCUGAUACCGCCCAAGAGUUCAUAUCGACGGCGGUGUUUGGCACCUCGAUGUCGGCUCAUCACAUCCUGGGGCUGAAGUAGGUCCCAAGGGUACGGCUGUUCGCCGUUUAAAGUGGUACGCGAGCUGGGUUUAGAACGUCGUGAGACAGUUCGGUCCCUAUCUGCCGUGGGCGCUGGAAGAUUGAGAGGGGUUGCUCCUAGUACGAGAGGACCGGAGUGAACGCACCGCUGGUGUUCGGGUUGUCAUGCCAAUGGCAUUGCCCGGUAGCUAAGUGCGGAAAAGAUAAGCGCUGAAAGCAUCUAAGCGCGAAACUUGCCUCGAGAUGAAUCUUCCCUGACUCCUUGA
rnacentral:rRNA from 1 species